UAUGCUCUACGAAUUUGCCUACCGCUCUUACACUUUGAUUUCGCAGAUCGACCGAAUCGAUCGGAGCCAGGAAGAAGUUGUGGAUGUUACAUUCAAGGAGGGGAAGAACAUUGAUUGGGAAGGAAUGGCGAAGCUUCUGGUCUCCGACGAGGCUCCCAAGGAAUUCAACACCCUCCGCCAGGAACCAGAGUCCAUAGAUUGGGAAUAUUACUGAAAAGGAAUUGGAUCUUUUGGUGUGCAAACACAAGUUUCAAAUUGGACGACGUGAAGAAAAUUCUACACUUUAUAAGUCUCAAGUUCCCACAUGAACUCCCCUAGUACCAGGCAUUUUCCAUUAUAUCCAAAAAUAUAUCGGGCUAAGUCCAAAGCGGACAAUAUCAUACUAGUAUUGAAUGAACUGGAUGACAUUGGGAAUUGGUUGUGGUAGUGGGCUCGCCCUUGUGACUUGUGGAUGUGCCUUGUGUCGAAAGUCUCAUGGCAGCGUUGGGUCGUUGGGUCGGUUCCGACAGUUGUGGUUGAUCAGAUAGCGGGUUCCUUUAUGAUAGGCAGUACAAAGUGGGCAGGAAAGGCCAUUGGUUGGUCCUUGGUUUGAGGAGAGAAUUGUUGGGUGCAGACCCAAGUCCCACAUUAGAAGACGUGAAAGAAAAUUCUACACUUUAUAAGUCCAAGUGAACUUCACUAGUACGAGGCUCACACCUUAUACAUCCCAAAUGAACUCCACUAGUAUGAGGUCUUUUGGAGAAAAUCCAAAAACAAAUUCGUGCGGGCUCAACCCAAAGCGAAUAGUAUUAUACUAGUGUCGAGCUGGUCAGUCCAGCAGGAUCUCGCUUGAUUGAUAUGUAAGCAGGCUUAUGAUGAGAUCAAAUUCCACAGUAUGUUGACAAUGUGACCCCUCAGUACAAACCCAAGUUUGAUGCUCUGCUUUUGCUAAUUUAUCAAAUUAACAACACAUGGAGGAUGUUCCACUGACUGGAUCGAUUCGUGAGUUACAGUAGGUAGAGUUGAAAGAAGCUGAGCAGGCAUCAUUAAAGGAGUCUGAAAUAUUAGAGAAAGAAAUUGCAGAGGUCCAAGAGUUGAAGGUAAUUUUAAGUUACUCUGUCUGCCGGUAUCCUUAGUUUAACAAUAAUGAAAUUCGAAAUGAUUACUGGGGCUACGGCUACUAGAUUGACAUGGUGCUACAGUUCUUGGAGCCACAUGUAAGGUGCCAUCCUUAACUUCAAUCACAUUCUGUUUUGAAAUAAAAAGUUAAGAACCAAUUUGUGUUUCCAGUUUCUUUUUUCUUGGAUUGCCUAAAUAUAAUCAUCCCUGUUGCGCCAUGUAUUGCUUGUUAUCUCCUUUCCGUUCGUGCCGACAGAAUUUGAUUAAUAAUUUAGCUUUUCGGAACUCUACUUUCUCCAUGUGUGUAUAUUUUUGUGCUCAUGUAGUAAGUAAAUGGCAUACAAUUCUGGAGUUGUAUGUGUUGAUGCUACCU